GGGUUGUGAGGUUAAGCGACUAAGCGUACACGGUGGAUGCCCUGGCAGUCAGAGGCGAUGAAGGACGUGCUAAUCUGCGAAAAGCGUCGGUAAGGUGAUAUGAACCGUUAUAACCGGCGAUGUCCGAAUGGGGAAACCCAGUGCAAUUCGUUGCACUAUCGUUAACUGAAUACAUAGGUUAACGAGGCGAACCGGGGGAACUGAAACAUCUAAGUACCCCGAGGAAAAGAAAUCAACCGAGAUUCCCCCAGUAGCGGCGAGCGAACGGGGAGCAGCCCAGAGUCUGAAUCAGCUUGUGUGUUAGUGGAACGGUCUGGAAAGUCCGACGGUACAGGGUGAUAGUCCCGUACACCAAAAUGCACAGGCUGUGAACUCGAAGAGUAGGGCGGGACACGUGGUAUCCUGUCUGAAUAUGGGGGGACCAUCCUCCAAGGCUAAAUACUCCUGACUGACCGAUAGUGAACCAGUACCGUGAGGGAAAGGCGAAAAGAACCCCGGCGAGGGGAGUGAAAAAGAACCUGAAACCGUGUACGUACAAGCAGUGGGAGCACCUUCGGGUGUGACUGCGUACCUUUUGUAUAAUGGGUCAGCGACUUAUAUUCUGUAGCAAGGUUAACCGUAUAGGGGA
rnacentral:rRNA from 1 species